AGUAGGGAAUUGUUCGCAAUGGGCGCAAGCCUGACGACGCAACGCCGCGUGGAGGAUGAAGGGCUUCGGCUCGUAAACUCCUUUCGACCGAGAUGAAUACCCGCAAGGCUAACAUCCUUGCGGACUGACAGUAUCGAGGGAAGAAGCCCCGGCUAACUCCGUGCCAGCAGCCGCGGUAAUACGGGGGGGGCAAGCGUUGUUCGGAAUUACUGGGCGUAAAGGGUUCGUAGGUGGUCGACUAAGUCGUACGUGAAAUCCCUCAGCUUAACUGGGGAACUGCGUCUGAUACUGGUUGACUUGAGUGCAGGAGAGGAACGCGGAAUUCCAGGUGUAGCGGUGAAAUGCGUAGAUAUCUGGAGGAACACCGGUGGCGAAGGCGGCGUUCUGGACUGUAACUGACACUGAGGAACGAAAGCCAGGGGAGCAAA
rnacentral:rRNA from 1 species